ensembl:lncRNA
GGGCGGUGCAGAGAGGAAGGAGGGGGGGAACUGAGGAGGCUGUGUUCUGGGAGCCAAAGAAGCAGCCAGGGACCAGCAGAGGAUGAGCCUAGGAAAGACCCUGGGAUUUAGGCAGAAGGUGGUGGCUGGUGACUUGGUGAGAGGAGCGUGGAUGGAGCCGUGGGGGCAACGCUGGGCUGCAGGGGCCGUGGGGGAGGGGGGAGGACCUUGCUUUCUGUGCCUGAGCUUCUGGGAGGAAGGGCGUGAGGCCCUGGGCUGGCAGGCGGUAGGGGCUCUGAGUGUGGGAUCUGCAGGGCGAGGCUCACCGGAGGGCGAGGAGGGACAAUUGUGUGGCUCUGGUCACAGGGGGGCAUGUCGGAGCUGCCUCAGGCUGGGGGUCUUGAGGAAGGCUUCCUGGAGAAGGUGCCCCCUGCUUGGGUCUGGGGCAUGAGGAAGGCUGAGGUGUCCUGGACAGAAGGAGGAGCCUAGGCCCAGGUGCAGGCGUGGGAGUGUGGAGGUGCCGAGGGAGGUGGCAGCCCUGGGGAGCAGGCUUUGGGUGCUGGGGUGGGUGGGUCUGAAGGCCCCUUCUACUCAUCUCCUUUUCUUUUCUUUUUUCUUUUCUUUGCUGCACCUGCCACAUAUGGAAGUUCCCAGACUAAGGGUCGAAUCAGAGCUGCAGGAGCCAGCCACAGCCACAGCCACAGCAACGCCAGAUCUGAGCCGCGUCUGUGACCUCCACUGCAGCCUGUGGCAACUCCAGAUCCUUAACCCACUGUGCGAGGCCAGGGAUGGAACCCACACCCUUUAUGGAUACUAGUCAGAUUCUUAACCUGCCAAGCCACAACGGGAACUCGGGGAGAUGCCUGGCAGGGCUUUGUUGACGUGCCUGAGCUGUCAGCCCGGGGGCUCUGGCCCUGCUGCAAUUACAGCUUUCCCGUUGGGGACCCAAGGAAGGAAGCCCUGCUUCCCACAUUAGACUGGGUGUUGGGGGGCCUCCUCCAUCAGAUUGGGAGGUCCUAAGGGAGGGGAUGUGCCCCCCAUCAGCAUAGGCUUCCUGCAAGUGAGCCUGUUUCCCGCUCAUCGGACGGCCUUCUGCAGGUGGGAGCCGUGUCUUUGGCAUCGGACCCGGGGCUCCCAGCGGUGGGACGCGUCUCCAGUCCGAGCCCUGGGAUUAGGACGGGUAUUAACCCUGAUGGUUCCCGAGCAUCCUCCCUCCCUCCUGUGUGCAGGAUGGGUCCUGCCUGGGGGUGGCUUGAGUCCUAGUAGGACAAGUAUAGACAGAGCGGGUGGGGAGGACAGGGUGGCUGCUUUUGAGAGAAGAACAAAGGACGCUGUUGUCCCAGCCCCCUCCCUCCCUCCCAAGGGGCCCCGGGCAGGGUCAUCUCUCUGGAGACGCACCUCCUCCUUCCUGGGCCCGGCCCCAUCUUUAGUCCCACUUGAGAGGAACUGCUUGUUCCUUCCCAAGAGACCUGGUGCCAGACGAGGCCCCUGGGAGGCCAGGCCCCAGGGACUGGACCGGACAGGUCCCUGGAGUUCUGUGUGGUUGAAGUCAGCAUGGCCACUGAGCAGCUUUCCCUCUGCCUAGAGCCGGGCCCGACUGGGCUGAGAGCACAGCCAGUGUCAUGGGCCCUCUGGUACCUCAAGAGGGAUCCGGAGCAGGUGCGAUGCUGUGGCCCAUGCUGGGCCACCAGAGGCAGGACUCACCUCUCUGGCUCUGAGCUGUUCAGUGGCUGUGCAGGGGGCACCCGGAGGCCCAGAAGCUGAACGGGUAUGGAUCUGCAUGAGGCAGGCGCUCUCUCCCAUCCUGGCCCUGGGCCUCUGGCCCCACACUUGGUCCUCUUGUCCUUUUGCAGCCUCCCGCCGCCCCCCAGCCUGUGCAAUCAGUGGGCAUGGAUGCGUUUUGGCAAAGGACAAGGAAGGGGGUGGGGAGUGGUCUACCAGGAUGUGCCAUCUCAGAAGGGUCCCAGAGGUAUGCUCUAAGGCUUGCUCAUUGCUGUGUGACCUUGGGCAUGAUAUUCACCCUCUCUGGACUUGGUGUCCCUACUGAAGUCAAAUCAGCUGGAGUGUAUGAAGCCCUUCUCCCAGAGUCACCUGUUUUUCUGUGUUCUGCUAGGGGCCUUGGGGGUGACCUUCCUUCUGAGGGGGCAGAAAAGGGAGACUGGGCAACUCAGGCCUCUGCCAUACUCCAGUGGGACUGAGACCCCCGGCGGAGCUGGGCCUGGGGGGCUGUGAGUCAUGCUCUCUCUGUGGGAUCAGGCCCUCGCCGCAGCAGCCUCCCACCUCCCAAAGCACCUGCAGGAACCACCAGGCAGGUCCUGGAAGAUUGCAUUCUCUCUGCCCACGCUGUGCCCUCCUCUGAGUGCCCACAGCCCUCUCUGGGAUCUGAUUAGCAAAUAUUAGGGGCUGAUUAGCCUAGUGGUUAGGCUAUAGGAAGAACCAGAUUUCCUGGUUUCAAAUACCAGCUCUGCCACUUACCGGCCUGGUGACCUCUGCUGAUUAUUUAACCCCUUCUCUGCUGUAGCGCCCUCCUCUGUAAAAUGGAGUAGCAGCAGUGCCUGCGUCGUGGGUUGUCUCGAAGAUUAAAUGGGUUAAGAUCGGUACGCCUUGGAGACAAGUCCCCAGCCCAAGUGCAGUGUCAUACGAGGUGACCUCGCAGUGCCCUUCCUGUCCUUCAAGGCCCGAAUCACAUGUGCCCUCCUCUGGGAAGCCCCCUGCCCCGGAUCUCCAAGUGCCUCGUGACUUCUUUUCAGCUGUAUAUUCAUUCUCUCGCUUUCUGUCAGCACUCAUCCUUCCCUCUCUUUGUGGGUUCUUUGCACACUCGUGAUGUCCUCUGUGUGAGGCCAAGGGCACCUGGCGGGGGCCUCUUGUCCCUUUGCACCUGUGCAGACCUGGCGUGGCCCGAGCUCCAUACGUUCGGCGAAGGAGGGUGAUGUAGGCAUACUUGGGGAUGGGCAGUGUGGUGGGUGGGACAGCAUUGCUGAUUCUGAAAUAUCUAAAGGUGGCCCAGAGCCACAGGCCUUAGGUUAUUUUCUGUGCUUUGAAGGGCGGAGGUUACCGCAUGACUGGCUUUACUUUGCUAGGAGAAUGUGUUUUCAGACAAGCAGAGCUACCUGGCGACGGGAUUGGUGGCUCCUUCCAGCCUUCGUGCCUUUGUUCCUGUUGCGUCUGCCAUUGCGAAUGGCAUCCUUGGAGUUCCCUUGUGGCUGAGGGGUUAAGGACUUCCCAUUGUCAUUGCUAUGGCUUGGGUCGCUGAGUGGCAUGUGUUUGAUCCCUGGCCUGGGAACUUCUGCAAGCCAAGGGUG